CUGCCUCUGUUGGUGUUGGGCCAUAUCCAAUUCCAUAUCUCUUGCACUCAAGGCUGUUUUCAGCCGGCUACCUGGGAGUUGCAACGUAGGCAGUGAAAGGUUCGCCUUGUUCUGCCACAGGCUACCACCCAUGGGAGAUGAACAGGUAACCGAAGGGGAUAUUGGUGGUGUUGAAGUAUUAGGCGGCAUCAUCAUUGAAGACAAACCAAGAGAUAACGGGCUUAAUGUUGCGAAGUCAAUUGAAUUGGCCGAAACAGACUUUGGGGAAGGCAUAGCUGAACC
rnacentral:lncRNA from 1 species